rnacentral:rRNA from 1 species
CGUACACUCCUGCGGGAGGCAGCAGUGGGGAAUAUUGCACAAUGGGCGCAAGCCUGAUGCAGCCAUGCCGCGUGUAUGAAGAAGGCCUUCGGGUUGUAAAGUACUUUCAGCGGGGAGGAAGGCGAUAAGGUUAAUAACCUUGUUGAUUGACGUUACCCGCAGAAGAAGCACCGGCUAACUCCGUGCCAGCAGCCGCGGUAAUACGGAGGGUGCAAGCGUUAAUCGGAAUUACUGGGCGUAAAGCGCACGCAGGCGGUCUGUCAAGUCGGAUGUGAAAUCCCCGGGCUCAACCUGGGAACUGCAUUCGAAACUGGCAGGCUAGAGUCUUGUAGAGGGGGGUAGAAUUCCAGGUGUAGCGGUGAAAUGCGUAGAGAUCUGGAGGAAUACCGGUGGCGAAGGCGGCCCCCUGGACAAAGACUGACGCUCAGGUGCGAAAGCGUGGGGAGCAAACAGGAUUAGAAACCCCUGUAGUCCCAUGAU